rnacentral:rRNA from 1 species
ACAACGACUCUCGACAACGGAUAUCUCGGCUCUCGCAUCGAUGAAGAACGUAGCGAAAUGCGAUACUUGGUGUGAAUUGCAGAAUCCCGUGAACCAUCGAGUCUUUGAACGCAAGUUGCGCCCGAAGCCACUAGGCCGAGGGCACGCCUGCCUGGGUGUCACGC